rnacentral:ncRNA from 4 species
GAAGUCGAAAUCCGCUAAGGAGUGU